rnacentral:rRNA from 1 species
AUCGAACGCUGGCGGCAGGCCUAACACAUGCAAGUCGAGCGAGCGGCGGACGGGUGAGUAAUGUAUGGGGACUGCCCGUUAGAGGGGGAUAAGUACUGGAUAAGGGUGCGAAUAAGGCAUACAAGCGGAUAAGCCAUAUGGGAUUGGCUAGUAGGUGAGGUAAUGGCUCACCUAGGCGACGAUCCCUAGCUGGUCUGAGAGGUGGAUCAGCCACACUGGGACUGAGACACGGCCCAGACUCCUACGGAGGCAGCAGUGGGUAAUCUUGCACAAUGGGCGCAAGCCUGAUGCAGCAAUGCCGCGUGUAUGAAGAAGGCCCUAGGGUUGUAAAGUACUGUCAGUCGGGAGGCGUUACCGAAAGAGGAAGCACCGGCUAACUCCGUGCCAGCAGCCGCGGUAAUUC